UGGCUCAGACAGUAAAGCGUCUGCCUGCAAUGCAGGAGACCUGGGUUCGAUCCCUG
rnacentral:tRNA from 1 species